rnacentral:rRNA from 1 species
CAACUGUGUGAAUUAAUGCGAACUGCAUACUGCUUUGAACAUCGACAUCUUGAACGCAUAUUGCGGCCAUGGGUUUGCCUGUGGCCACGCCUGUCCGAGGGUCGGCUUAUAAACUAUCACGACGCCCAAAAAGUCGUGGCUUGGGUCUUGCCAGCUGGCGUGAUUUCCCUGCGCUUUCGUGCGGGGUGCCAGAUCUAUGGCUUUUCCYCAAUGUGCCGA